CCCAUUGCUUUAUAUCCUAUUCACAGCAGUAUAGGCAUGUUUUCUUAAGCUGCCCUUUAUAAAGGUAUUCUCAACACUUCAUGUGAUUAGGACCGCCAGUUGAUCAUACGACAGCGGGAACAUCUAGCACUUCUACGGCCUCUACUAUUGACACAAGUUCGAUUAGCACUGAUGCAGUGUCCUCCGGAACUACUGGAGUAUCUCCGACAGAAACCACGAUUGUAUCUUCUGGGACUACUGAACCUGCUACACCUUCACCAUAUGGAGAUUGCAGAAAUAAUCCAAGUAUCGACUGUAAGCUGUACAACUUCAACAUGACAUGUCCAGUUGAUGGAAUUUAUUACCCAUGGGCAAGAAAGAACUGUCCAUUAUACUGUGGUUACUGCCAAGUUCCAACACAGUCUGUGGAAUGUAAAGAUAAACUUCCUACUUGCGCCGAGUAUCAGAGGGACUUGUGCACAAAUAAUCUGUUUAGACUAUUCAGAGAGGAAAACUGUCGGAAAUUCUGUAAAAUAUGUGAAGGUCAGUAGCAAACUAUUGU